GCAUACGGCCAUACCAGCCUGGGUACGCCCGAUCUCGUCUGAUCUCGGAAGCUAAGCAGGGUCGGGCCUGGUUAGUACUUGGAUUGGAGACCGCCUGGGAAUACCAGGUGCUGUAAGCA
rnacentral:rRNA from 1 species